AGAAACGAUAUAAAUUUGGCCAACGAUAGAGAUUUUGACUAUACCGCUCUAUCGCGAUAGCGCAUGUUGAUGAUGUCAUCAAGCUGCGCCUGUUUCGGUCGAAAGCAUAGCAGUGGCUACAACCAUUAUCAUCUGCAAAUUAUGCCGGGUGACAGUCAUAGCAAAGAGAUGAAGCACUUUUGAAAUAUGGGGAAAGCCAAAAACUGCGCUUCCUCCACUUCCUGUACGGAGUUUGGGACCCAGAUUACUCCGCGAAGCUCCUCACUACGGCAGCCGUAAUGCUCUGACAAUCCAUCAAGCAGUGUGGCUUACCAAAGUUGUACUAAAACAUUUUUAACAGAUUUCUGCACGCCCAAAUCGGUUCGAGGUGCCAAGCUACCCUUCAGUUUCAUCAUACCAUCCCUAACGAUAACUGUAGAGUUGAUGGAGGAUGAAGACAGCAGAGAGAGCAAAAGAAACAGGUAAGAGCGGACAGGUAGUCAGAGUUAACAAAAACUGUUAAAGCCAGUGUAGCUUCUGUUUUGAACACAUUUAUUGAUGAUGAUUAUACAUAAAUAAGCAUCGAGAGCGUCCUGAGCAACUGCAUCACUGUCUAGUAUGGUAACUACACUGUGUCAGAUCGCAAUACCCUACAACUGAUAAGUGAGAGCAGCUGAGAAGAUCAUUGGAAUCCCUCUCCCCUCCAUCCGCAAAGCCACCAGCAUUAUGGAGGACCUCACACACUCCUCACACAGAGUUGAUGGAGGAUGAAGACAGCAGAGAGAGCAAAAGAAACAGGUAAGAGCAGACAGGUAGUCAAAGUUAACAAAAACUUUUAAAGCCAG
ensembl:lncRNA